rnacentral:ncRNA from 1 species
CCAAAUGCGAUGAAGAGAAGAGUAAAUAAAAUCAAUUCUUUCAAGAGAGCUCCGUUUGGUGAAAAGGAGUAAGGAUGAUUUAUCGAAUCAAGCCUCUGAGUAGUAUAUCGGAACCUUUUAGGGGAUGAUGUGACGGGAGCUCCCGUUAUAGAGCUAAGGUAUUGGAUUAUUUUACCUAAUAAGAUUAAUAUGGCGACAUAUUAAUAAACUGGGGUGGCACCACGAUUAACAAAUCUCGUCCCCAAG